UUGCUUCUUUGAUUUGAGAUCCAGUUCAUGUGUAAACAUGUAGUAAUUCAUUAAAGGGCACCUUCAAAAUGUACUGUGCAUUAAGAAACAAAAUGCUGAAGGUAUUGUAUGUCACAGAUAAUGAUACUCUCCUUUCACAUACCCAAAAAAUCGAGAGAAAAUAGUAUUAAAUGGAAUUGUCUCAAAGUAACAAAGUUACACGAAAUUUUGUUUUUUAACUGUGCAUUUAACAGUUUGAUUUGUUUUAAAAAGAACCAUCACGCAUCGACAAGCAUAUUCACUGAGCAGAUGCUUUUGAAAGAAGGUAGUUUAAAUCAUUUCAUGUCAAAGCGGAAUACGGAAAUAAACCUGUGUAAAGCUGGGCGAUGAACAGCAUGUGAGAAACGAAGACAUGUGCAGACAGAGAGAACCUCAACUUUACCUGCUAACGCAUUAUAUUAUUUUGUUUCGUUUAUUUGUUCUUAAAACGGAUCCGAAGAAAAAGGAAAAUACACAUUAAAAGUUCUGAUACUUACAUGAACUGUAGUUGUUUCACGAAUAGAUAACACUUUCCGAUAGUGUAAAGUAGAUUGAUGCAGAUAUCAUUGUUCUAUCUGGUUGGAGAGUCAUCAUUGUAAACUGUACAUUCGAUACUAGUUGUCAAAAGAGACUGUUGAACUAAUUACUUGAUUCAGCUGCUGAACAAUCAAGACAAAUGAGUACUUUUGGAGCUGUUGCUUUUGAUGUCAUUGCAACCUGUGUCUCUUUGAAAGUUCUACGUAUAAUGCCAAAUGAACACAUGUGCAUAUAUCUUUAAAUAGUUUUGGACGUUAGUGUUGGAGGACUUGUGGAGUUUUAACUUUGUGAAUGAAAGUGGCGAUUUUACUAAGACAAGACAGUGUGUAAUUGACAGCUGAUCUCUAGUCGAUAGCUGAAGUUGAAACAGCUUUAUGACUUGAAAAAGUCUUGGAAAAUGUCAAAAUUUCCAGGAAAAACACCUGCAGUUAUUCAUGACCUUUAAAAAGUCUUUAAAUAUAUUUAAAUACGGUAAAACGUUUCUUUCCGUUUAUAUACAAUAUAACAGUAAAGAUUUAAUUGAGUCUGUUCAAUGUGCAACUACCCUUCAUGCCCUCUAGCCCUCGGUUUAAGAGGAAUUCUAUCAUAGUUGAAAAUGAGAGCAUUCCAUGAUCCCAAAGGGACAAUCAAUAAGCCACGACAAUAACUUUGAGGGACUAUGUACCAAAACUGGUACUUCUCUGGAGAUCAAAUAGAUACGCGAUUAAGACUUUAAUCACUUUAACACAUCCAUAUCUAAAGGAAAUUUACGCAAACCACACCACAUAUCCUCUUUUUUCUGUUUGCUUGGCAUGUCUUGACACUGGCUUUGCUAAUGUACCUUAAACGUAAAAAGUAUCAAUAAAUGCAUUAUUAAAUAAAGGCAGUCGAAAUCUUAUAUUCAAUUUGACUUAAAGCGUUUUGUUUGAUUGCUACAACUAAUUCAUUUUAAUCUACUUCUUAAUUAGAAUUAAUAUUGUCAUAUAUAGUCAACUGAAUUGUAAUACCUUCUAUGAUAAUGUUUUGAACACCUGUUUUUUGAAAAAUAUCUUGAAAUCAGAAUGUAAUGAAAAGAAUAUUUUAAAUUUUAUUAGUCAGUUAAGAUAACCUUCGUUUAAGUUAUUGCAUUCAAGCCACAAUAUAAUAGAUUCGUUGUUUUAUCAAAUAUGAUCGCUGUUGCAUUGUUGUAGUUAAACUGAUAAUAUCCUACACUUUAAGUUGUUUCUCAAAAUGAAAACAAAUAUCUUGUUAAUCGUCUAUCAUGUUUUGCAACCAUGCUAGUUUAAUUUUUGUACUUCGAUUACUGGUAUGUGUAACUGAAUAACAUUAGUUCAAAACGCAGUUGUGGUAUCUUUACUCGGAUGAACGAUAUUUCGAAUUCAUAACGGACAACUAUUAUCUUAUUAUUUGUCAGGCUAACUCCAAUCCUUGUGCACAGUAUACACAAUUCAGAGUACGAAUAUGAUAGUGUUAUUAAGACUGAAUGAAUAUUUGAUAUAAAUACCAUCACUGUAGACGAAUACAUGUAUCAGAAUUAUAAUUAUUAUUGAACUUGAAAUGGUUAAGGCUAAACGAAGCUGAUAUAUAUUUUUUACAUUUAUUUUCAGUUGAUAAAUUAAAUAUAACGACAAAAUAUAUAUACUGUUGAUUUCAAAAAUGGAUAUAUUUUGGUUAUAACCAUUGCAAAAAUAGAUUGAAUAAAAGAAAAA